GCGAAGUAGUUGGGGGUGGGACUACAUUUUAUCUCAGUGCGUGAAAGCAGAAAGCCUCCCACAGAGGAGACACUCAACAAGAACUGCAGAACGCGGGACCAUGUCUGCAUUCUUGUUUGGGUUCAGUUUUAUUUUAAGCACAGGAAAAUGCAAAACAUCCUGGAAUAUAUUACUCAAGAUUAUUGCCAAGGGAAAGAAAUCUGUCUCCUAUUUGAAGAACUGCCUGGCGAUAGAUUUUGGCAAUCACACAGAACUUUGCAAUUUGCAACAGGCUCCACUUCAUUUGAUCCCAGGAGCUUGUGAGAUAAGGAAAUGGGUCAGAGGGAUUAAAAGCCAGAGCAAGAGAUUGCCAAGAAGAUGAACUGCAGCCCACUCACUCCCCUGUGUCCACUUCCAUCUACAGAAGCUGGAUGGGAAGACCCAUCCCAGCAGGGUUCAUGUGAAGGUUAGUCCUGAGGAAAGCUCACCAUCAGAACCUGAGGCAGAGCCAGGCACCGCCCUCCACCGGUGGCAGCAGAGCUCAGGGCUGGGAAAGGCCCUCAGGAGCAGGGAAGAGCCUUUGAAGUCCUGCUCUUGCAGAAACAAACCUAUAAAUGAUGGCGUAUGUCAUAAGCACGGUAAUGAAUUGCCUCAAAACGGGUGUCUGCUUCACUUUAGUGGUUUUCUUUCUUUCUUUUUUUAAUAGCAGUGUUUUUCUUUUUCUUUUCUUCUUUUUAAAAAAGUUUUCAUUUUAAUUCCAGCUAGUUAACAUACAAGGUUAUAUUAGUUUCAGGUGUGCAAUAGAGUGAUUCAACACGUCCAUCCAUCAGCCUCCCAUUAAUGUUUAAUGGGGAGUUACAGAAGUCAAUCAAGAAAAAAAAACCUGGGAAGAAAAUAUUGUACAAGAAUUGUUGAUGGGUCUAGAAAGGCUCCAACUCUAUUUAACAUAAAUGUUUUCAUCAGACUUUCUUACCUUCCCUAAUGACGAGUCUAGCAUCUAUGGACCAGAGAACAUUCCAGAGGGGAGGGGAUGUUGGGACCUGGAAGAGGUCCAAACCACAAGAUGGACAAGACCAAGACUCAGCUCUGAUUCUGAACCUUUGCUCCAACUUCUCAGCUGUGUAAUCUUCAGCCAAUGCCUGUACACUCUUGCAACCCUGGGACAGAGGUUGCCUGUGGUUCCUCAAAUCAUUUUCUUUUCUCCGGGCACACAGGAGAAACAAGCAGUGGCCCUGAGACGGAUUCUGGCCAAUGGAAUGUACAUAGUACAUCCAAGGCUGUGUGAAAUUUCUUCUGUUUUGCACCUGGAAUUUCUCCCCCAAAUAAUUAUUUUUUCCAAUAAAAAAUAUGACAUACGUACUGUGGAAAAUUUGAAAAGAAAAUUAAGAAUGGAAAUAUCUGCCCAUGAAAAUGAUCACUAUUAAUAUCAUGGGAUAUUUCUUAAGUAUAUGUUUACCAGAGUUGAGAACAUAAUGCCUGUGCAAUUCUGUAUCCGGUGUAUUUUUUGCUUGCCAUUAUCAUAAGCAUUUCCCUAUAUCACUAAACAUUAUUUAUUAGGCAUUACUUUCCGGAGUUAAUAUUCCAUUGUAAGGACAUACCAUAUUUUCCUAACCAGUUCCUUAUUGUCGGAUAGUUAGAUCAUUUCCAGUUUUUCAGGUUUAUACAACAUGCUGCAAUGGCCAUAUCUGUAAACUUGGGUUGUUUCCUUUGCAGUGUGAAUUCUUUAAGGUGAUGGAGGUUUUAGACUUGGGUAAUACAUGGGAAACCAUUACAUGUGUUAGAAACAACCUGAUUUCUGGAAUGUAAGAGCAUAGGGAGGUCAACUGUGGGAACUGGGCUGUAAGGGGCCCUGGGGAGGGUAGUUGAGAUUCUUGAAAGAGAUUGGGGGGAAAUUCUUUUCUGCACCAGCUCUAGGGAGAGGUGCUCAGCUGUCUGAGCAUGAGGGACAAUGGAGGGUCCUCCCUCCAGGUUUCUUUGAGGGUCAGGCAAGCCCUUUUUCUUGGGAGACUCUAGGCUCACAUUUCAUGAGCUUGUGGUCACCAUAGCUCCUGAGUGUUAUUUCUUUUUGCUUAUUUAUUUUUUUGACCCACACCUGAGUUUUUUUUAAAAUGAGCUACAAUUAACAUGCCAUAAUAUUCACUCUCUUAAAGUGCAUAAUUCAGUGGUUUUAAUAUAAUCGCAAGGUUGUGCAACAUCACCCUUAUCUCACUCCAGAACAUCUUCAUCACCCCAAAAAGAAAUGCAUACUCAUCAACAGUCCUUCUCUCACUUUUCAAACCCUCGGCUCCUUGCAGCACUAAUUGACUUUCCUGUCUCUGUGGAUUCGCUUAUUCUAACUUCAUAGAAGGGGGGUCUGUAAUACGUGGCCUCUUACGUCUGGCUUCCCUCACUAAGCGCAGUGUUGUCAAGGAUCAUCCAUGUUGUAGCAUGUUCCACUGCGUCUAUUUUCAAGGCUAAAUAAUAUUCCACUGUAUGGACAUAUCACCUUUGUUUUUCCACUGAGCAGGUGAUAGACAUGUGGGUUGUUUCCAUUUUUUGGCAAUUAUGAGUAAUGCU